AAAGAGGGAGGGAGAGAAGGAUAAAGAGAGACACCUGUAGCCCUGUUUCACUGCUUGCGAGUCUUCCCUCCCUGAAGGAAAGAGAUCUCAGGCCCAGAACUAUUUCCUCUUGUCUUGCCUCUUCCAGUCUACUGAAAACCUCAUCUUGCACAGCUCAUUAGAGACCCUCUCUACAGCUGUAAGGGAUGCUGUUGAGCCUGGAUCUACCCUGGGAAUGGACUUGAGUGCCAGUAGAAUCUGGCAGCGGAGAUCUGAGCUGCUGUUAAACAGGGCCUGAGAAGAAGGGAGGUGGGUGAAGUGGCUCCCCACUAC